rnacentral:rRNA from 1 species
UACAGAGGGGGCAAGCGUUAUUCGGAAUUAUUGGGCGUAAAGGGCGCGUAGGCGGCCAUUCAAGUGACGGGUGAAAGCCCUCGGCUUAACCGAGGAACUGCCUGUCAGACUGGAUGGCUUGAGACCGGGAGAGGUGAGUGGAAUUCCCAGUGUAGCGGUGAAAUGCGUAGAUAUUGGGAGGAACACCCGUGGCGAAGGCGGCUCACUGGACCGGAACUGACGCUGAGGCGCGAAAGCGUGGGGAGCAAACAGG